rnacentral:lncRNA from 1 species
AACAAACGACUCCAUUAAAUAUAUCCAGGGAGAAUACUUCAGAAAAUUAACGAAUCCAUAUGCUUAAUGCUGAAUGACACAUCAAUGUGUGCACUGGCUCAGAUCAAUCGUAAUCACAACAUCCCUCCAGUAGUAUGUACAUUUGCUAAGUUUUUAUAGUGACAGAGAAUAAUAGCAUGACAUACGUACAUUCAAAACUCGACCAGUUUCCAUUGCUAUCAUGCCCAAGGGAAUUGUCACAGAUCUACUGAUCCUAAGUUACUUUGAUCCCAGCAUUAUCAACGUAGCAGACACAAGCAAAAUGGUAGAUUCUGAUUUUCCCACCUGGGUGCAUCCAUCUUGCCCGUCGAUAGGAGGAGAGCUCUUCCUUCUGCCCUGAAAACGUCGAUCCCUGGAGGAAGGACUUCCAUCCACGUCCUCACCAAAGGGACCUGUAAAAGCACAAAAACACAAGCGGGAAACAACGCAAGACCAAAGGAAACAUCAAUUUCCACCGCUCACAUCAACUUUUCUUACCAUCUCAUCGGUUGCGGAAGGAAAGCCUCGCGGCCCGUGCCGCGGCCGCGGACACUCCCUGCCCCGGCGACGAUGGCGGACGACGAGUCAGGGGCCCCGACCAGGUAGGCGUGCUGGAUGAGGUCGAUGCCGGCAGGUGGGGCGGAGGGGCAGCAACGGAGGAGGAAGAGGUGGAUCCGCGACGACAGCAAUGGAUCCACGAAGAAGUGUGUACAAUGAGAUACACUACUAGAAACAAAUGAUUAUAAUUCCCUAAAGAAGUGUGUACAUAGAAAUUAUAGCCAGACAACUUACUGUAAGCAUGGGCUCCCACAUGGCAAAAUCAUUAUUCCGUUCUGAUAAGACCAGCAAAAUAUCAUAGACUGAUACCAAGAAAACGCCAGAGCGGCAGAAAAUAUUGAUCAAUUAUUGGUUACUGGCAAGACAAAAGGUAGAAGGAACCAUAGUAUAAGUAAAAAGGGAACCACAAUUUAAGUACAAUGGAACCAUAUGAGUAUAUGAAUGCAGUUAAGGGGGAGCUUGUGUCGUAUCCAUAAUGCUCGUUCGCGGUGGUUGACUUGCCAGACCAGGUGGACCGAUUAUCCCAAUCACCAUGAAAUCAUUGUUCUCCAUCAAAUACUUCAAAAAAGGAAAAAGUAAAAAACACGAGUUCAAUUUUUCAUGCAUGCCAUUUAGCAACCAGUAAUUCUAAGUUUUAGUUGUAACGUAAACAUAUAGGACGCAAGUAUCAAUAGCCGGAUUGUAUAUAUGUCAAGAACAACUGUGUGCAAUACAAGGUAUAGCUCCACACAUAAUUCUAGUGUACACUAUACAUAUAUAGGUUAAGAACUACUGUGUACUGACCAGCCCUUCUGAAAUCCCUGGUCCUAUGUGAUAACAUACACGAAAAAUCCUGCUAACCUGGAAGGUUGUGGGCACUGCUGAACCAAAUGUUGAAUUCAGAGAGAAGGAAGCAACAAACGACUCCAUUAAAUAUAUCCAGGGAGAAUACUUCAGAAAAUUAACGAAUCCAUAUGCUUAAUGCUGAAUGACACAUCAAUGUGUGCACUGGCUCAGAUCAAUCGUAAUCACAACAUCCCUUCAGUAGUAUGUACAUUUGCUAAGUUUUUGUAGUGACAGAGAAUAAUAGCAUGACAUACGUACAUUCAAAACCCGACCAGUUUCCAUUGCUAUCAUGCCCAAGGGAAUUGUCACAGAUCUACUGAUCCUAAGUUACUUUGAUCCCAGCAUUAUCAACGUAGCAGACACAAGCAAAAUGGUAGAUUCUGAUUUUCCCACCUGGGUGCAUCCAUCUUGCCCGUCGAUAGGAGGAGAGCUCUUCCUUCUGCCCUGAAAACGUCGAUCCCUGGAGAAAGGACUUCCAUCCACGUCCUCACCAAAGGGACCUGUAAAAGCACAAAAACACAAGCGGGA